CAUUUUUCCACCUGGUCUUGCUGAGUGAAGAACUAGCUGAGUGAAGAACUAACGGAGCUAUUUUUGGCUACAAAAAUACUUUUUCUGGAAAAAAGGAACAUUUGCUAUCUAACUGGGAGUCUCGUGAGUGAAAACAUCCGAAGCUCAAAGUGAACUGUGGCUGUGACCGUCCGUCAUCACUGUUUGAGAUCUUCUACUGCAGUGACGGGGUGGACCGUUCCUGGAGGUACUGCAAUACCAGGUCGGAGCGUGGAGUGGACGGAGCAAGCCCCUAUUCCAUCUCCCUGUUCCAAAAAUCAAUUUAAUAUAUGGUCACCGGCAAGGGAAACGCAUAGGCACGGUGAAGUAAUGAAGGCAGAAUGUCCGCCUUCAGCACUAGCACCUUCCCACUAAAAGAUAGUUGCCUUACUUUCCACAGUCCCAAUCUUUUAAUUGACAAUAGUUUCUUUCCAAUUAAACAUGUCAUCUUUAAUUUCAUUUCCGAAAGAUAUGCCGAGCACUACCAUUGGUCCUGUGCACACUGUCAAACCACAUAACUGAUCCGUUCUCCAUUUCCACUGUCCCAAAUAUUUUAUUUCUGUUUUAAUCUUGUUUAUCUUCGACCCAGAGGCAGAGAAUUCAUCAAUGACUUUGAUAGACUCUUUCAAGAUCAGGUCUUCCUGUAAAUAUAAAACUGUGUCGUCCACAUAUUGCAGAUUUUUUUAGCAUAUCCCCUCCAGGUAAAAUGAUGCCUUUGUUGUAAUUCGUCGUAAUUGCGCAUGUGAAAGGUUCAAUAUAUAGAGCAGAUAGAGGGUCACCCUGUCUGACACCUCGUCAUUGCUUGAUAACAUUUCCAAUAUUCCCAUUAAUAUUUACACUGCUUCCCACAUUACAAUACAGAAUUUUUACCCAUUUCAUAAAAUUAUUUCCAAAACCAAAUUUUUCCAUAAUUCUAAAUAAAAACUCAUGGUUUACCAUGUCAAAAGCUUUUUCCUGGUCCAAAUUUACAGUAAUGGCUGGCAGGUGCCUUUCCUCUAAAUACGCUUGAACUUCUCUGUGCAAUUUGCAAGUUCCAGGUUAAUCUUCUCCCCACCACACCGCAUGUUUGGUCUAAACCAACAGCAUAUGCCAUGGCAGAAGAUAGGCGAUUAGUUAAGGCUUUGCUUAAUAAUUUAUAGUCAACACACAACAUUGUUAAAGGUCUCCAAUUUGCCAAUGUCUUGGUCUCCCUUUUUGUAAAGUAGAGAGAUUACCCCCUCACACAUCAAAACUCCCAUAUGCUCCAAACCAAAUAUACCUCUAAACACUUCCAACAGAUGACAUCCAAUUAUAUCCCAAAAAACUAUGUAAAACUCUUUGAGAGCCCAUCCACUCCUGGUACUUUUAUCUUUCAUGCUCUUCAGUGCCAUAUACAUUAUCUAAUUUCAAUUCCCCUUCUAAUUGGUCUCUAAUAUCUAAAGGUAUCUGCAGAUCCACGCAUUUAAAAAAAAAUUAGUCCCUUUCUCGUAAUCAAUUGUUUUUGAAAUAGCUGAGAAACGUGGUGUGUAGCGACACCAAGCAUGCCAUCUCCAUCCUCAACCAUCUCCCCAUCUUGAAAUAGCUGAGAAUAGUGGUGUGUAGCGACACCAAGCAUGCCAUCUCCAUCCUCAACCAUCUCCCCAUCUUGGUCCAAUAAAGCCAAAAUAGUCCUCUUUCCCCGUGAUUUAAUUUGCUUGAAAAAAAUAUGCCGAGCACUUCAUCAUUUUCCCAUUUAUCUUGCUGACUUUUAAAAUAAUGUGUGCUGCUUUUUCAGCAGGAUACCCAAUUUGUCUUUAUCUAAUCCACCACCAUUUACAUUUCCUUGGAUGUGUAGAUCUUUUAGUUAAUUCUGCAAUUUAUAAAAUGAUUUGUAGUUGUGGUUAUUACGUACUUUGUCUUUGCAAAAAUUCUGAAUAAAACUCUUGAUUCUUAA